GGGGAGUUAGCUUAAUGGUAGAGCAAGCGUAUGCAUACACAAAACAAGUCGGCUAAGGCGUAGGUUCGAAUCCUAUACUCUCCACAA
rnacentral:tRNA from 1 species